UACGGAAGGCAGCAGUGGGGAAUAUUGCACAAUGGGCGAAAGCCUGAUGCAGCUAUGCCGCGUGUAUGAAGAAGGCCUUAGGGUUGUAAAGUACUUUCAUCGGGGAGGAAAAAACAAAACUAAUAAUUUUAUUUCUUGACGUUACCCGAAAAAGAAAGCACCGGCUAACUCCGUGCCAGCAGCCGCGGUAAUACGGAGGGUGCUAGCGUUAAUCAGAAUUACUGGGCGUAAAGAGCACGUAGGUUGGUUUUUUUAAGUUCAGAUGUGAAAUCCCUGGGCUUAACCUAGGAACUGCAUUUUGAAACUGAAAUACUAGAGUAUCGUAGAGGGAGGUAGAAUUCUAGGUGUAGCGGUGAAAUGCGUAGAUAUCUGGAGGAAUACCUGGUGGCGAAAGCGGCCUCCUAAACGAAUACUGACACUGAGGUGCGAAAGCGUGGGGAGCAAACAGGGAUUAGAUACC
rnacentral:rRNA from 1 species